rnacentral:rRNA from 1 species
AUGGCGUCGUCGGCGCCGGGCGGCGGCAGCGGGAAGAUCGAGCGGCUUUCGUCGAUCGACGCGCAGCUGCGCCUGCUCGUCCCGGCCAAGGUGUCCGAGGACGACAAGCUCAUUGAGUACGACGCGCUCCUCCUCGACCGCUUCCUCGACGUCCUGCAGGGCCUCCACGGCGACGAUCUCAGGGAGAUGGUUCAAGAAUGCUAUGAGGUGGCUGCUGAAUAUGAAACAAAGCAUGACCUGGAAAAGCUUGAUGAACUCGGAGAGAUGAUAACAAGCUUGGAUCCUGGCGACUCUAUUGUGAUUGCCAAAGCUUUUUCACACAUGCUUAACUUGGCCAACUUGGCCGAGGAAGUGCAGAUUGCAUACAGGAGGAGAGUCAAGCUCAAGAAGGGAGACUUUGCUGAUGAAAAUUCAGCAAUCACAGAAUCUGACAUCGAGGAAACUCUUAAGAGGCUUGUUUUUGACAUGAAGAAGUCCCCUGCUGAGGUCUUUGAUGCCCUCAAGAAUCAGACUGUUGAUCUUGUUUUGACUGCACAUCCAACACAAUCUGUAAGGAGGUCACUGCUCCAGAAGCAUUCGAGGAUCCGGAACUGUUUGGUUCAGUUAUACUCGAAGGAUAUCACUCCAGAUGACAAGCAGGAGCUUGAUGAGGCUCUUCAGAGAGAGAUCCAAGCUGCCUUUAGAACUGAUGAGAUCCGAAGGACUCAGCCCACUCCCCAAGAUGAGAUGCGUGCUGGUAUGAGCUACUUCCAUGAGACAAUAUGGAAGGGUGUUCCAAAGUUUUUGCGCCGUGUUGAUACGGCAUUGAAGAACAUUGGGAUCAAUGAGCGUGUUCCCUAUAAUGCUCCUCUUAUCCAAUUCUCUUCUUGGAUGGGUGGAGAUCGUGACGGAAAUCCAAGAGUGACACCAGAAGUUACAAGGGACGUCUGCUUGCUCGCCAGAAUGAUGGCAGCUAAUUUGUAUUGUGCACAGAUUGAGGAUCUCAUGUUUGAGUUGUCUAUGUGGCGUUGCAACGAUGAGCUACGCUCGCGAGCUGAUGAGCUGCACCAAUCUUCUAAGAAGGACGCUAAGCAUUACAUAGAGUUCUGGAAGAAGGUUCCUCCAAAUGAGCCAUAUCGGGUAAUACUGGGUGAUGUUAGGGAUAAUCUUUACAACACGCGUGAGCGAUCACGUGAGUUGUUAUCCAGUGGACAUUCUGACAUACCUGAGGAAGCUACUCUGACAAAUCUUGAGCAGCUGUUGGAGCCCUUGGAGCUCUGUUACAGGUCGCUGUGUGCUUGUGGUGACCGUGUUAUUGCUGAUGGAACCCUUCUUGAUUUCUUGCGCCAAGUCUCUACCUUUGGACUUUCCCUCGUGAAGCUUGACAUCAGGCAAGAGUCUGACAGGCACACUGAUGCUCUUGAUGCAAUCACCUCAUACCUGGGAAUAGGAUCUUAUCGUGAGUGGUCUGAGGAACGCCGUCAAGAAUGGCUGUUGUCUGAACUCAAUGGGAAGCGCCCAUUAUUUGGUGCAGACCUUCCCAUGACAGAGGAAGUUGCUGAUGUUAUGGGCGCGUUUCAGGUUAUCGCUGAGCUGCCCGGUGACAAUUUUGGAGCAUAUGUCAUUUCAAUGGCAACAUCUCCUUCAGAUGUUCUUGCUGUGGAGCUCCUCCAACGUGAGUGCCAUAUCAAGACACCACUUCGAGUUGUCCCCCUGUUUGAGAAGUUGGCCGAUCUCGAGGCUGCCCCAGCAGCACUGGCCAGACUCUUCUCAAUAGAUUGGUACAGAGAGAGGAUCAAUGGCAAGCAGGAGGUCAUGAUUGGGUAUUCAGACUCAGGCAAGGAUGCAGGCCGUCUCUCAGCAGCUUGGCAGAUGUACAAGGCUCAGGAGGACCUCGUCAAGGUCGCUAAGCAAUUUGGAGUGAAAUUGACGAUGUUCCAUGGACGAGGUGGGACUGUUGGAAGGGGCGGUGGCCCUACUCACCUUGCCAUCUUGUCUCAGCCACCGGACACGAUCAAUGGAUCACUCCGGGUCACUGUUCAGGGUGAAGUUAUUGAGCAGAGCUUUGGGGAGGAACACUUGUGCUUCAGGACGCUCCAGCGUUUCACAGCUGCUACUCUUGAGCAUGGGAUGCGUCCACCCAUUUCACCAAAGCCAGAGUGGCGAGCUCUUCUUGAUGAGAUGGCUGUGGUGGCAACUGAAGAAUAUCGGUCAAUCGUCUUCCAAGAACCACGCUUCGUCGAGUAUUUCCGCCUUGCAACACCAGAGACAGAGUAUGGCAGGAUGAAUAUAGGAAGCAGGCCGUCCAAGAGAAAGCCCAGUGGUGGCAUUGAAUCACUCCGUGCAAUCCCAUGGAUCUUUGCAUGGACGCAGACACGGUUCCACCUCCCGGUCUGGCUGGGCUUUGGUGGCGCCUUCAAGCAUAUCCUAAAGAAGGACAUCAGGAACUUCCACAUGCUCCAGGAGAUGUACAACGAGUGGCCAUUCUUCAGGGUCACCAUCGAUCUUGUUGAGAUGGUGUUCGCCAAGGGUAAUCCUGGCAUUGCUGCCUUGUAUGACAGGCUCCUAGUUUCAGAGGGGCUACAGCCACUGGGUGAGAAGCUGAGGGCCAACUAUGAGGAGACCCAGAAGCUGCUUCUUCAGGUUGCUGGGCACAAGGAUCUUCUUGAAGGUGAUCCCUACCUGAAGCAGCGGCUCCGCCUCCGUGACGCGUACAUCACCACCAUGAAUGUCUGCCAAGCAUACACAUUGAAGAGGAUCCGUGACCCAGACUACCACGUCGCAUUGCGCCCCCAUCUGUCCAAGGAGGUGAUGGACACGAGCAAGCCGGCUGCUGAGCUCGUGACGCUGAACCCGGCGAGUGAGUACGCGCCGGGGCUGGAGGAUACCCUCAUCUUGACCAUGAAGGGCAUUGCUGCCGGUCUGCAGAACACCGGUUAG